GCAGACACAUUCCAGCCAAUCAGCAGCAGACCCUCCCUCCCAGACCCUCCCACCUCCUGGACAGCAUCCAUUUUACAUUCAUUGUGAAGCUGCAUUCUUAGUGAGCUGUCCAGGAGGUGGGAGGGUCUGGGAGGGAGGGUCUGCUGCUGAUUGGCUGUAAUGUGUCAG